AGCAGCUGGCAGACGCUGCUGCAGGAAGAAAGGGCCCACUCUGGGCAGGGGAAAGCCAAGGUUUAUUUCAGGGCUCAGGCCAGCUCUGACCCUCAGGGCAACCUGCUGCACACAGCACACACUCAGCCCCGGCACCAGCUUGGAAAGGGGGCGCAAACAAGGCAAAGAUACAUCCAACAACCAAUGGGGGAAACGGGGCUGUGCAAACCGGGCAGAUGGACAUGAAGGAGCACAAAUGAGGAAGCACCUUAAGGGAGGGCCCUGACCUCUGCCCAAUCACUCCACGCCCCUGGGGGAAGAUUCUGGAAAGAGGGGAAGGGAGGCCGAGGGAUUGACAGGGGCCGAGGGAAGAGACUGGGGAAUGGCUCUGCAGCCACAGGGAGGAUUGACAUGGGCGAGGAGGGAAGGCACUUGGGGCAAAGCAUUGUCAGGAAAGAAGAGGGGCUACAUCAGGGAAAUCAUUGCAAACUGAGAACAAGGAGAAUAAAAUACAAUAGAACACGGCCCGGGGUCCCCCAGUCCUUGAUUGCGGGGGACGUGGAUGGGACCCCUGCGAGCGCUGGGGCAGCGAGCGGGGCCGGAUGGAGCCGCAGAGAGCGGGGAUGGUGGGGGGAGCUGAGCUGGGAUAUUGGGAUAGCCAGGGCUGGGAUACUGGGAUAGCCAGGGCUGGGAUACUGGGAUAGCCAGGGCUGGGAUAUUGGGAUAGCCAGAGCUGGGACAUUGGGAUAGCCAGGGUUGGGAUAGCCACGGCUGGGAUAUUGGGAUACCCAGGGCUGGCAUAUUGGGAUAGCCACGACUGGGAUAUUGGGAUAGCCAGAGCUGGGACAUUGGGAUAGCCACAGCUGGGACAUUGGGAUAGCCAGGGCUGGGACAUUGGGAUAGCCAGGCUUGGGAUAUUGGGAUAGCCAGGGCUGGUAUAUUGGGAUAGAGAGAGGUGGGACAUUGGGAUAGCCAGGGCUGGGAUAUUGGGAUAGCCAGGGCUGGGAUACUGGGAUAGCCAGAGCUGGGACAUUGGGAUAGCCAGGGUUGUGAUAGCCACGGCUGGGAUAUUGGGAUAUCCAGGGCUGGCAUAUUGGGAUAGCCAGGGCUGGGACAUUGGGAUAGACAGGGCUGGGAUAUUGGGAUAGCCAGAGCUGGGACAUUGGGAUAGCCAGGACUGGGAUAUUGGGAUAGCCAGAGCUGGGAUAUUGGGAUAGCCAGCCCCGGCUCAAGGACAGGAACGGGCCCGUGGCCAACAGUGCCCUGGAGACGGGGCCGGUACAACCAGAGCGGGGGGCACUGGGGGGAGCCAGGGGCUGGGCUGGGAUCUGUGGGAAUGGAGGACUCUGAGGGGCUGGGAUGGGAUCUCUACGGCUACGAGGGGUGGGAUUUCAUCUCCUUCCAGCUGGGACCCGGGAGCUUUGCAGUGUCCGACGGUGCCAUCUGGAUCACCCAGAGGUGCUGGGAAUGCAAAGGGAUCAUGGUGGAGCAGAUGAAGCAUUCCCUGGGACACAGCUGUGUGGAAGAGCUCCCAAAAUCCAUCGGACAUGGUCAGGAGGCUCUGGAGCACAAAGCCAGGUGAGAAUUUCAUGCAUGGAUCUCCCCCCAAGCCAAUAGACAUGGGAAUUCCAUGGGGAAAUGAUUUGAAUUGAUGACCAAUGCAAUGCCAGCAGUGCAAUUGUGAAAUACAAAGCUGUGUUUCGUGUCGGGUUCAUACAGGCAACGUGUGUAUUUGUGAUUGUGAAACGUGUGGAAACUGACCACGGGACAGUUAUAAAGACGAAUUCUAAUAAAUAACUGAGGAAGUAAAGCAUGGAAGAAGGCCUUUGAACCAAUCCUUUGCUCGCAAUUACCCUUUGUAAGUCUUCAGUUGAUUUAGGAUCAUUUGAAUUAAAGCUUUAAGGAUGUUGCUGUUUGACAGGAACUUUCUGCUUUAGCUAAGCCUUAAUGAGUUUUGCAAUAAUAACCUCUUGAAGUAUAUUUUUAGAAUAUUGCUUGUAGUAGGGGUCUUUGAAACCAUAGCAUUAGAAUAUAUAAAAAGGAAACAUGCUUAUCUCGAUGCAUUAACAAAACAGUGAAAAGCAGUUUGAGAAAGGAAGAUGAACAUCAAUUCAAGGAUUGAUAGUUUUGACCAAGAGAAGCUGGAUAUCACUGUUAUGAGAUUUGCAAUUAAAAGGUGGACCCACAUCUGUAAUCUGGUCCUCACCAGCUGGGAGACUUCUUUCUUCUUUCGGAAGCCGGACCCCACCAUCUGGGGAUACUCCUUUCUGAGAUACAUCCUGAGAAAAACUAAAUCAUAAUAGUGUAUAGAAUUGUGAUGUAAAAAUUGGGAAUGGGAACUGCUGAGAAAGCUUAUGAGUACCCCUAUCAAUGCCUGUAAGCCUCAACUAUGGGUGUGCAGUUGGAGGGAAAACUUCCCCCUCUGUACCCAGCCUGUAUUGCUCAUACUUUACCAUAUGAAUUAAUAAAUUGAUUGCUGCUUGAA